UGGGUCUUGAUGUCAGUAGGGCUCAGUAGGGAACUGACCCUCUAUUUCUACCUGCAUUAAUGAAGCUGAAUGAGGUGGUAGGAUGUAGAGUUAGUUGACACUCUGCUUC
ensembl:miRNA